CCUACGUGUGGCAGCAGUGAGGAAUAUUGGUCAAUGGGCGCGAGCCUGAACCAGCCAAGUAGCGUGAAGGAUGACUGCCCUACGGGUUGUAAACUUCUUUUGUACAGGAGUAAAGGGCGGCACGUGUGCCUUUUUGUAUGUACUUUAUGAAUAAGCAUCGGCUAACUCCGUGCCAGCAGCCGCGGUAAUACGGAGGAUCCGAGCGUUAUCCGGAUUUAUUGGGUUUAAAGGGAGCGUAGAUGGGUGGUUAAGUCAGUGGUGAAAGUUUGGGGCUCAACCGUAAAAUUGCAGUUGAUACUGGCAGUCUUGAGUACAGUUGAGGUAGGCGGAAUGCGUGGUGUAGCGGUGAAAUGCUUAGAUAUCACGCAGAACUCCGAUUGCGAAGGCAGCUUACCAAACUGCCACUGACAUUGAUGCACGAAAGUGUGGGUAUCAAACAGGAUUAGAUACCCGGGUAGUC
rnacentral:rRNA from 1 species